UCGGGAAUAUUGGACAAUGGUCGCAAGCCUGAUCCAGCCAUGCCGCGUGUGUGAUGAAGGCCCUAGGGUUGUAAAGCACUUUCAGUGGGGAAGAUAAUGACGGUACCCACAGAAGAAACCCCGGGUAACUCCGUGCCAGCAGCCGCGGUAAUACGGAGGGGGUUAGCGUUGUUCGGAAUUACUGGGCGUAAAGCGCACGUAGGCGGACUAUUAAGUCAGGGGUGAAAGCCCGGGGCUCAACCCCGGAACUGCCUUUGAUACUGGUAGUCUUGAGUUCGAGAGAGGUGAGUGGAAUUCCGAGUGUAGAGGUGAAAUUCGUAGAUAUUCGGAGGAACACCAGUGGCGAAGGCGGCUCACUGGCUCGAUACUGACGCUGAGGUGCGAAAGCGUGGGGAGCAAACAGGAUUAGAUACCCGUGUAGUCC
rnacentral:rRNA from 1 species